rnacentral:lncRNA from 1 species
CUUGGCCUCCCAAAGUGCUAGGAUUACAGGUGUGAGCAACUGUGCCCGGCCCAUUUACUGCUUCUUCACAGGUGUACCCCACAGAUAUUGAUACUUAUUCACUUCACAUUACUCUAAACAUGAGAACAAUCCAGUUUCAACCUGUGGUGAUACACUGGUCCUGUACUAACGGUUACUUGAUGCCUACCUGUUAGAUUCCUGAGGAAGAAGCAUCCUCAGUCAUGAUGUGACAGUACUCGCACUGACUUACAAUUAAUUUCUAAAGAUGAUCAAUUGUUCCAAGUUGAGGAAGUGUUGAUUAUUUGCUCUAAUUUGCAUGAAUUAUGAGAGACUGUCAGGAUUUUUAUCCCGAUUUCCUUUAUAACCGUGGCUGCAAAUCAGCUUGCUCUUUUUGAUAUGGUUUCAAAUCUUUGGGGGCUUUUGGCAUUUUAUCUCAUUAUAAUAGUGCAUUCUUUUUUCAUCUGUCUUACUGAAAGAAGACCCUCUUUACAGCUCCAUAAUACUACAAUAUUAUGUUUCUAGAGUCAAGGCUAUCUGAGUACCAGUUUAGAAUGCUUAAAAUGAGUCCCACAUGUCUCUUUAACACACUGGUGUUAUGCCAUUUGUGAUUCUUGUUUCCUUGCAAAUUUGACUUUAUACUACCGUGGUCAGUGGUGAAGGAAAUAAUGCAGUAACAAAUUCUGCAUUUGGCAAGGAAAAGGAAAUCUGAGGACAGCCUAGAGCACACUUGGAUUUAAAUUACUUUGUGCUCAAAUCUGUGUGAUCUAGGAUCAAGUUUAUGUCUAGAGUGAAGAGGAAUAGCAUCCAUGUUAACAAAUUGGUCUAUGAGGCUGGGCGCGGUGGCUUAUGCCUGUAAUCCCAGCACUUUGGGAGGCCAAGGCGGGUGGAUCACUUGAGGUCGGGAGUUCGAGACCAGCCUGGCCAACAUGGUGAAACCCUA